rnacentral:rRNA from 1 species
UCCAGACUCCUACGGGAGGCAGCAGUGGGGAAUAUUGGGCAAUGGGCGCAAGCCUGACCCAGCAACGCCGCGUGAAGGAAGAAGGCUUUCGGGUUGUAAACUUCUUUUCUCAGGGACGAAGCAAGUGACGGUACCUGAGGAAUAAGCCACGGCUAACUACGUGCCAGCAGCCGCGGUAAUACGUAGGUGACAAGCGUUGUCCGGAUUUACUGGGUGUAAAGGGCGCGUAGGCGGACUGUCAAGUCAGUCGUGAAAUACCGAAGCUUAACUUCGGGGCUGCGAUUGAAACUGACAGCCUUGAGUAUCGGAGAGGAAAGCGGAAUUCCUAGUGUAGCGGUGAAAUGCGUAGAUAUUAGGAGGAACACCAGUGGCGAAGGCGGCUUUCUGGACGACAACUGACGCUGAGGCGCGAAAGUGUGGGGAGCAAACAGGAUUAGAUACCCCUGUAC